GUGAGAAUCCCACAGGCCGUAAACCCAAGGUUUCCAGGGGAAGGUUCGUCCGCCCUGGGUUAGUCGGGACCUAAGCUGAGGCCGAAAGGCGUAGGUGAUGGACAACAGGUUGAUAUUCCUGUACUACUGAUAACCAUUUGAGAGAAGGGAUGACACAGUAGGAUAAGCUAAGCACACUGUUGGUUAUGUGUGCCCAAGCAUUGAGGCAGUCAAAGUAGGCAAAUCCGCUUUGAUAAUGCUGGGAUGUGAUGGGGA
rnacentral:rRNA from 1 species